rnacentral:rRNA from 1 species
GAUGGGGACUCACAGGAGACUGCCGGGGUCAACUCGGAGGAAGGUGGGGACGACGUCAAGUCAUCAUGCCCCUUAUGUCUUGGGCUGCACACGUGCUACAAUGGCCGGUACAAUGAGCUGCGAUACCGCGAGGUGGAGCGAAUCUCAAAAAGCCGGUCUCAGUUCGGAUUGGGGUCUGCAACUCGACCCCAUGAAGUCGGAGUUGCUAGUAAUCGCAGAUCAGCAUUGCUGCGGUGAAUACGUUCCCGGGCCUUGUACACACCGCCCGUCACGUCACGAAAGUCGGUAACACCCGAAGCCGGUGGCCCAACCCCUUGUGGGAGGGAAUCGUCGAAGGUGGGACUGGCGAUUGGGACGAAGUCGUAACAAGGUAGCCGUACCGGAAGGUGCGGCUGGAUCACCUCCUUU